GGCUACUGCAGUCGAGCGGAGAGAGGUAGCUUGCUACUGAUCUUACGGCGGACGGGUGAGUAAUGCUUAGGAAUCUGCCUAUUAGUGGGGGACAACAUUUCGAAAGGAAUGCUAAUACCGCAUACGUCCUACGGGAGAAAGCAGGGGAUCUUCGGACCUUGCGCUAAUAGAUGAGCCUAAGUCGGAUUAGCUAGUUGGUGGGGUAAAGGCCUACCAAGGCGACGAUCUGUAGCGGGUCUGAGAGGAUGAUCCGCCACACUGGGACUGAGACACGGCCCAGACUCCUACGGGAGGCAGCAGUGGGGAAUAUUGGACAAUGGGCGCAAGCCUGAUCCAGCCAUGCCGCGUGUGUGAAGAAGGCCUUAUGGUUGUAAAGCACUUUAAGCGAGGAGGAGGCUACUUUAGUUAAUACCUAGAGAUAGUGGACGUUACUCGCAGAAUAAGCACCGGCUAACUCUGUGCCAGCAGCCGCGGUAAUACAGAGGGUGCAAGCGUUAAUCGGAUUUACUGGGCGUAAAGCGCGCGUAGGCGGCUAAUUAAGUCAAAUGUGAAAUCCCCGAGCUUAACUUGGGAAUUGCAUUCGAUACUGGUUAGCUAGAGUGUGGGAGAGGAUGGUAGAAUUCCAGGUGUAGCGGUGAAAUGCGUAGAGAUCUGGAGGAAUACCGAUGGCGAAGGCAGCCAUCUGGCCUAACACUGACGCUGAGGUGCGAAAGCAUGGGGAGCAAACAGGAUUAGAUACCCUGGUAGUCCAUGCCGUAAACGAUGUCUACUAGCCGUUGGGGCCUUUGAGGCUUUAGUGGCGCAGCUAACGCGAUAAGUAGACCGCCUGGGGAGUACGGUCGCAAGACUAAAACUCAAAUGAAUUGACGGGGGCCCGCACAAGCGGUGGAGCAUGUGGUUUAAUUCGAUGCAACGCGAAGAACCUUACCUGGCCUUGACAUAGUAAGAACUUUCCAGAGAUGGAUUGGUGCCUUCGGGAACUUACAUACAGGUGCUGCAUGGCUGUCGUCAGCUCGUGUCCUGAGAUGUUGGGUUAAGUCCCGCAACGAGCGCAACCCUUUUCCUUAUUUGCCAGCGAGUAAUGUCGGGAACUUUAAGGAUACUGCCAGUGACAAACUGGAGGAAGGCGGGGACGACGUCAAGUCAUCAUGGCCCUUGGCAGGGCUACCACGUGCUACAAUGGUCGGUACAAGGGUUGCUACCUACCGAUGGAAGGCUACCAAAAGCCCAUCGAUCCGGAUGGGAGUCGGCCCCCCCCCCUGAAUUCGAAUCCCUUCCGGAACAAAAUGCCCGGUGAAAUUUCCCGGCCUUGAACACCCCCCCGCCCCCCUGGGAGUUUGUUGCCCAAAGAUUCCCAAUGCAAAGGGGUACC
rnacentral:rRNA from 1 species